rnacentral:rRNA from 1 species
GUUAGUUGCCAUCAUUCAGUUGGGCACUCUAGCGAGACUGCCGGUAAUAAACCGGAGGAAGGUGGGGAUGACGUCAAAUCAUCAUGCCCCUUAUGACCUGGGCUACACACGUGCUACAAUGGUUGGUACAACGAGUUGCGAGUCGGUGACGGCGAGCUAAUCUCUUAAAGCCAAUCUCAGUUCGGAUUGUAGGCUGCAACUCGCCUACAUGAAGUCGGAAUCGCUAGUAAUCGCAAAUCAGAAUGUUGCGGUGAAUACGUUCCCGGGCCUC